UACGAAGGGGGCUAGCGUUGCUCGGAAUCACUGGGCGUAAAGCGCACGUAGGCGGCUUUUUAAGUCAGGGGUGAAAUCCUGGAGCUCAACUCCAGAACUGCCUUUGAUACUGAGAAGCUUGAGUCCGGGAGAGGUGAGUGGAACUGCGAGUGUAGAGGUGAAAAUUCGUAGAUAUUCGCAAGAACACCAGUGGCGAAGGCGGCUCACUGGCCCGGUACUGACGCUGAGGUGCGAAAGCGUGGGGAGCAACAGG
rnacentral:rRNA from 1 species